GGAGGGGUGUCCGAGUGGUUGAAGGAGGCGGUCUUGAAAACCGUUGAGCUCAUGCGGGCUCCGUGGGUUCGAAUCCCACCCCCUCCGCCA
rnacentral:tRNA from 1 species